CAAUAGCGUAUAUUAAAGUUGUUGCAGUUAAAAGCUCGUAGUUGGACCUCUGGGAGGGACCCAAUGUCCGCCGUGUGCGUGCGCAGCGGGGCCCUUCCAUCCUUCUGUUAACGUUUCUCGGUAUUCGCUUACUGGUUUCGGGCUCAGAUAUUUUACCUUGAGAAAAUUAGAGUGUUUCAGGCAGGCUUGCGCCGGAAUACAUUAGCAUGGAAUAAUGAGAUAGGACCUUGGUUCUAUUUUGUUGGUUUCUAGAGCUGAGGUAAUGAUUAAUAGGGAUAGUUGGGGGCAUUCGUAUUUAAUUGUCAGAGGUGAAAUUCUUGGAUUUAUUAAAGACGGACUACUGCGAAAGCAUUUGCCAAGGAUGUUUUCAUUGAUCAAGAACGAAAGUUAGGGGAUCGAAGACGAUUAGAUACCA
rnacentral:rRNA from 1 species